rnacentral:rRNA from 1 species
CUUCCACAAUGGACGAAAGUCUGAUGGAGCAACGCCGCGUGAGUGAUGAAGGUUUUCGGAUCGUAAAACUCUGUUGUAAGGGAAGAACAAGUACGAGAGGUAAUGCUCGUACCUUGACGGUACCUUGCGAGAAAGCCACGGCUAACUACGUGCCAGCAGCCGCGGUAAUACGUAGGUGGCAAGCGUUGUCCGGAAUUAUUGGGCGUAAAGCGCGCGCAGGCGGCCUUUUAAGUCUGAUGUGAAAGCCCCCGGCUCAACCGGGGAGGGUCAUUGGAAACUGGAAGGCUUGAGUACAGAGGAGAAGAGUGGAAUUCCAUGUGUAGC